CCCCAUAGUAUGUUUGAAUGGCAUCAUUUAGGCAUUAAAGUUUCGGCGGUAUAAGAUGACUAUGCGUUCUAUUAGUUUGUUGGUAAGGUAACGGCUUACCAAGACUACGAUAGAUAGGGGUCCUGAGAGGGAGAUCCCCCACACUGGUACUGAGACACGGACCAGACUCCUACGGGAGGCAGCAGUGAGGAAUAUUGGACAAUGGAGGCAACUCUGAUCCAGCCAUGCCGCGUGUAGGAAGACUGCCCUAUGGGUUGUAAACUACUUUUAUAUGGGAAGAAUAAGGUCUACGUGUAGACUGAUGACGGUACCAUAAGAAUAAGCACCGGCUAACUCCGUGCCAGCAGCCGCGGUAAUACGGAGGGUGCAAGCGUUAUCCGGAAUCAUUGGGUUUAAAGGGUCCGUAGGCGGGCAUAUAAGUCAGUGGUGAAAGUCUGUGGCUCAACCAUAGAAUUGCCAUUGAUACUGUAUGUCUUGAAUUAUUGUGAAGUGGUUAGAAUAUGUAGUGUAGCGGUGAAAUGCUUAGAGAUUACAUAGAAUACCGAUUGCGAAGGCAGAUCACUAACAAUAUAUUGACGCUGAUGGACGAAAGCGUAGGUAGCGAACAGGAUUAGAUACCCUGGUAGUCUACGCCGUAAACGAUGGAUACUAGUUGUUUGGUCUUCGGACUGAGUGACUAAGCGAAAGUGAUAAGUAUCCCACCUGGGGAGUACGUUCGCAAGAAUGAAACUCAAAGGAAUUGACGGGGGCCCGCACAAGCGGUGGAGCAUGGUGUUUAAUUUCGAUGAUACGCGAGGAAC
rnacentral:rRNA from 1 species